rnacentral:rRNA from 1 species
UACGAGAGGUCCAAACGUUAUUCGGAAUCACUGGGCUUACAGAGUUCGUAGGCGGCUCUACAAGUGAGGUGUGAAAGCCCUCGGCUCAACCGAGGAACUGCGCUUCAAACUGUAAAGCUAGAGGAAGAUAGAGGUGAGCGGAACUGAUGGUGGAGCGGUGAAAUGCGUUGAUAUCAUCAGGAACACCGGAGGCGAAGGCGGCUCACUGGGUCUUUUCUGACGCUGAGGAACGAAAGCUAGGGGAGCAAACGGG